rnacentral:rRNA from 1 species
GGUUAAGCGACUAAGCGUACACGGUGGAUGCCCUGGCAGUCAGAGGCGAUGAAGGACGUGCUAAUCUGCGAUAAGCGUCGGUAAGGUGAUAUGAACCGUUAUAACCGGCGAUUUCCGAAUGGGGAAACCCAGUGUGAUUCGUCACACUAUCAUUAACUGAAUCCAUAGGUUAAUGAGGCGAACCGGGGGAACUGAAACAUCUAAGUACCCCGAGGAAAAGAAAUCAACCGAGAUUCCCCCAGUAGCGGCGAGCGAACGGGGAGGAGCCCAGAGCCUGAAUCAGUGUGUGUGUUAGUGGAAGCGUCUGGAAAGGCGCGCGAUACAGGGUGACAGCCCCGUACACAAAAAUGCACAUGCUGUGAGCUCGAUGAGUAGGGCGGGACACGUGGUAUCCUGUCUGAAUAUGGGGGGACCAUCCUCCAAGGCUAAAUACUCCUGACUGACCGAUAGUGAACCAGUACCGUGAGGGAAAGGCGAAAAGAACCCCGGCGAGGGGAGUGAAAAAGAACCUGAAACCGUGUACGUACAAGCAGUGGGAGCCUCUUUUAUGGGGUGACUGCGUACCUUUUGUAUAAUGGGUCAGCGACUUAUAUUCUGUAGCAAGGUUAACCGAAUAGGGGAGCCGAAGGGAAACCGAGUCUUAACUGGGCGUUAAGUUGCAGGGUAUAGACCCGAAACCCGGUGAUCUAGCCAUGGGCAGGUUGAAGGUUGGGUAACACUAACUGGAGGACCGAACCGACUAAUGUUGAAAAAUUAGCGGAUGACUUGUGGCUGGGGGUGAAAGGCCAAUCAAACCGGGAGAUAGCUGGUUCUCCCCGAAAGCUAUUUAGGUAGCGCCUCGUGAACUCAUCUCCGGGGGUAGAGCACUGUUUCGGCAAGGGGGUCAUCCCGACUUACCAACCCGAUGCAAACUGCGAAUACCGGAGAAUGUUAUCACGGGAGACACACGGCGGGUGCUAACGUCCGUCGUGAAGAGGGAAACAACCCAGACCGCCAGCUAAGGUCCCAAAGUCAUGGUUAAGUGGGAAACGAUGUGGGAAGGCCCAGACAGCCAGGAUGUUGGCUUAGAAGCAGCCAUCAUUUAAAGAAAGCGUAAUAGCUCACUGGUCGAGUCGGCCUGCGCGGAAGAUGUAACGGGGCUAAACCAUGCACCGAAGCUGCGGCAGCGACACUAUGUGUUGUUGGGUAGGGGAGCGUUCUGUAAGCCUGUGAAGGUGUGCUGUGAGGCAUGCUGGAGGUAUCAGAAGUGCGAAUGCUGACAUAAGUAACGAUAAAGCGGGUGAAAAGCCCGCUCGCCGGAAGACCAAGGGUUCCUGUCCAACGUUAAUCGGGGCAGGGUGAGUCGACCCCUAAGGCGAGGCCGAAAGGCGUAGUCGAUGGGAAACAGGUUAAUAUUCCUGUACUUGGUGUUACUGCGAAGGGGGGACGGAGAAGGCUAUGUUGGCCGGGCGACGGUUGUCCCGGUUUAAGCGUGUAGGCUGGUUUUCCAGGCAAAUCCGGAAAAUCAAGGCUGAGGCGUGAUGACGAGGCACUACGGUGCUGAAGCAACAAAUGCCCUGCUUCCAGGAAAAGCCUCUAAGCAUCAGGUAACAUCAAAUCGUACCCCAAACCGACACAGGUGGUCAGGUAGAGAAUACCAAGGCGCUUGAGAGAACUCGGGUGAAGGAACUAGGCAAAAUGGUGCCGUAACUUCGGGAGAAGGCACGCUGAUAUGUAGGUGAAGUCCCUCGCGGAUGGAGCUGAAAUCAGUCGAAGAUACCAGCUGGCUGCAACUGUUUAUUAAAAACACAGCACUGUGCAAACACGAAAGUGGACGUAUACGGUGUGACGCCUGCCCGGUGCCGGAAGGUUAAUUGAUGGGGUCAGCGCAAGCGAAGCUCUUGAUCGAAGCCCCGGUAAACGGCGGCCGUAACUAUAACGGUCCUAAGGUAGCGAAAUUCCUUGUCGGGUAAGUUCCGACCUGCACGAAUGGCGUAAUGAUGGCCAGGCUGUCUCCACCCGAGACUCAGUGAAAUUGAACUCGCUGUGAAGAUGCAGUGUACCCGCGGCAAGACGGAAAGACCCCGUGAACCUUUACUAUAGCUUGACACUGAACAUUGAGCCUUGAUGUGUAGGAUAGGUGGGAGGCUUAGAAGUGUGGACGCCAGUCUGCAUGGAGCCGACCUUGAAAUACCACCCUUUAAUGUUUGAUGUUCUAACGUUGACCCGUGAUCCGGGUUGCGGACAGUGUCUGGUGGGUAGUUUGACUGGGGCGGUCUCCUCCUAAAGAGUAACGGAGGAGCACGAAGGUUGGCUAAUCCUGGUCGGACAUCAGGAGGUUAGUGCAAUGGCAUAAGCCAGCUUGACUGCGAGCGUGACGGCGCGAGCAGGUGCGAAAGCAGGUCAUAGUGAUCCGGUGGUUCUGAAUGGAAGGGCCAUCGCUCAACGGAUAAAAGGUACUCCGGGGAUAACAGGCUGAUACCGCCCAAGAGUUCAUAUCGACGGCGGUGUUUGGCACCUCGAUGUCGGCUCAUCACAUCCUGGGGCUGAAGUAGGUCCCAAGGGUAUGGCUGUUCGCCAUUUAAAGUGGUACGCGAGCUGGGUUUAGAACGUCGUGAGACAGUUCGGUCCCUAUCUGCCGUGGGCGCUGGAGAACUGAGGGGGGCUGCUCCUAGUACGAGAGGACCGGAGUGGACGCAUCACUGGUGUUCGGGUUGUCAUGCCAAUGGCACUGCCCGGUAGCUAAAUGCGGAAGAGAUAAGUGCUGAAAGCAUCUAAGCACGAAACUUGCCCCGAGAUGAGUUCUCCCUGACUCCUUGAGAGUCCUGAAGGAACGUUGAAGACGACGACGUUGAUAGGCCGGGUGUGUAAGCGCAGCGAUGCGUUGAGCUAACCGGUACUAAUGAACCGUGAGGCUUAACCUU